rnacentral:rRNA from 1 species
GAUGAACGCUGGCGGCGUGCCUAAUACAUGCAAGUCGAGCGAACGGACGAGAAGCUUGCUUCUCUGAUGUUAGCGGCGGACGGGUGAGUAACACGUGGAUAACCUACCUAUAAGACUGGGAUAACUUCGGGAAACCGGAGCUAAUACCGGAUAAUAUUUUGAACCGCAUGGUUCAAAAGUGAAAGACGGUCUUGCUGUCACUUAUAGAUGGAUCCGCGCUGCAUUAGCUAGUUGGUAAGGUAACGGCUUACCAAGGCAACGAUGCAUAGCCGACCUGAGAGGGUGAUCGGCCACACUGGAACUGAGACACGGUCCAGACUCCUACGGGAGGCAGCAGUAGGGAAUAUUCCGCGAUGUGCGAAAGCCUGACGGAGCAACGCCGCGCGAGUGAUGCAGGUCUUCGGAUCGUAAAACUCUGUUUUUAGGGAAGAACAUAUGUGUAAGUAACUAUGCACAUCUUGACGGUACCUAAUCAGAAAGCCACGGCUAACUACGUG